CCCGUAACUUCGGGAGAAGGGGGACCUCUCAUCGGGCAACCGGUGGGGGGUGGCACAGAGUAGGGGGUGGCGACUGUUUACUAAAAACACAGGGCUCUGCGAAGUCGCAAGACGACGUAUAGGGUCUGACGCCUGCCCGGUGCCUGAAGGUUAAAAGGAGGGGUGAGAGCUCUGAAUUGAAGCCCAGGUAAACGGCGGCCGUAACUAUAACGGUCCUAAGGUAGCGAA
rnacentral:rRNA from 1 species